rnacentral:rRNA from 1 species
AGUGAACGCUGGCGGUAGGCCUAACACAUGCAAGUCGAACGGCAGCACAGUAAGAGCUUGCUCUUACGGGUGGCGAGUGGCGGACGGGUGAGGAAUACAUCGGAAUCUACUUUUUCGUGGGGGAUAACGUAGGGAAACUUACGCUAAUACCGCAUACGACCUACGGGUGAAAGCAGGGGAUCUUCGGACCUUGCGCGAUUGAAUGAGCCGAUGUCGGAUUAGCUAGUUGGCGGGGUAAAGGCCCACCAGGGCGACGAUCCGUAGCUGGUCUGAGAGGAGGAUCAGCCACACGGGAACUGAGACACGGUCCAGACGCCGACGGGAGGCAGCAGUGGGGAAUAUUGGACAAUGGGCGCAAGCCUGAUCCAGACAGACCGCGUGGGUGAAGAAGGCCUUCGGGUUGUAAAGCCCUUUUGUUGGGAAAGAAAAGCAGCAUGUUAAUACCCCGCUGUUCGGACGGUACCCAAAGAAUAAGCACCGGCUAACUUCGA